GUACACUCCUACGGGAGGCAGCAGUGGGGAAUAUUGCACAAUGGGCGCAAGCCUGAUGCAGCCAUGCCGCGUGUAUGAAGAAGGCCUUCGGGUUGUAAAGUACUUUCAGCGGGGAGGAAGGCGAUAAGGUUAAUAACCUUGUUGAUUGACGUUACCCGCAGAAGAAGCACCGGCUAACUCCGUGCCAGCAGCCGCGGUAAUACGGAGGGUGCAAGCGUUCAUCGGAAUUACUGGGCGUAAAGCGCACGCAGGCGGUCUGUCAAGUCGGAUGUGAAAUCCCCGGGCUCAACCUGGGAACUGCAUUCGAAACUGGCAGGCUAGAGUCUUGUAGAGGGGGGUAGAAUUCCAGGUGUAGCGGUGAAAUGCGUAGAGAUCUGGAGGAAUACCGGUGGCGAAGGCGGCCCCCUGGACAAAGACUGACGCUCAGGUGCGAAAGCGUGGGGAGCAAACAGGAUUAGAAACCCUUGUAGUCCCAUG
rnacentral:rRNA from 1 species